rnacentral:lncRNA from 1 species
AGCCCGAUGCGGGGCUCGAUACCGGGACUCUGGGAUCACGCUCUGAGCCAAAGGGAGACGCCCAACUGGGAGUGCGAGCAUGAAUGUGGGGAGGAGUCCAAGGAGAUGGAGGGGGAAAUCUCAGGCAGACUCCAUGCUGAUAACAGAGCCUGAUGCAGGGCUUGAUCGCAUAACUGAGUUCACCGGAGCUGAAACCAGGAGUUAGAUGCUUACGACUGAGCCACCCAGGAAACAGCCUACUGAUGAGGAUGACACCCUUACCAGCAUGUUCCUGUCACAAGCCCAAGGAGAGUGGAACAUUCAGCAGAGGACUUUACCCGCAGGGCCAUGCUGUGAGAUGACGGCAAAGGGAGUCUGUUGCUGAUUCUUGAGGACUGUGAAACCCAUCUUGAAGAUUCUCUUGCCAGUGAUGUGAUGGAUACAGUGGACGGGGAGGAGCUGGAUGUAUAUUUUCAUGGUGUAAGGUAUGUCAUUUAUUUGUACUUUCCUUCCAUUUAUGAUGAAGCUCCUGAAGACUGGCACUGCAUUUCCUAUGUCCUUUGCUGGCAGCAGCUGUCUUCUACCACAUGGAGGUCAUUUCCCACUGCCCUGCAGAGAACAAUUGCUCUGUACCUGUUUACAUCUGACACUUGUCUGAGACUGGCACUGCAAAGCUUCAUAACUUGUGCAGCCAGUUUAAAAAGGUUCCACAAAAGAAAUGAACCAUGCAAAGUGUUACAUAGCAGGUUUGCCAGGUCACUUUCUUGACUUAUGUGCUGAGAAUUGCAUUGUGAUGAUAACCUCUACUAGUUCCCAAGUGAUUGUCUUCAGUAGUCCUAGCAAAGGGCUAACGGUGCUGAUCUCUGGGGCCGGAUGCCUUCGUACUCGCCAUACAUUGCUCCAUCUAGGUACACCUGGAAUGGCUGUUGAAACUCCAGUUAUUGUAUCUGUGAAAAGGCUUUGUCUCAGUCUGACCUUCUAGUACCUAUGAGAGAGAGAGAGAAAGAGAGAAAUCCUCCCCCUCUACAGACCUGGCUAAUUACAUCUCUGCACCAUGAAAAUCGAUGAUAUUUUAAGAAGUAAAACUGCACUCAGAGGCAGAGCAAGUGUACGGUUAGCUUUUGUAGAAGUUGCCACAGCAACAUGAGUUGGAGUGCUUCCCCCACUUCCUAGCCUCCCCUAAAAUCUGCUUUAACAAAUUGUCCUAGAAAAAUACUGAGCUGGGAAAUGGUAUCUUUUGCUCACUAGGAAUGUCAUUAUCUUUGAUCAGUGUGAGUAGAGCCCCAAAAUGAGAUGCAGAGAGCAUCACUUUUAAGAAAUAAUAUUACAGAAUGAAUAAAAAUGAUCAAAGUGGAGUUCUCAACCAGCCAAACAGGAUUUCGAAGCCAAAAAUACCCUUCCCCCCACUCCUUGCUUAUGGGGAGGAAAUGAAACCAAGCCCUGGCUGGCUCUGGAAAUGCAUUUCCUAGAGACCAUGGGACCCAAGCCAAGAAUCAUUGAGUGCCAUGCUUGUUUCUUACUGACUUUGACACUGAUGUGGAAAAGCAAGGUGGGAAAACCAAUCAUUUGUUGCUGUGUCCUUAUACCAGAGUCUUCGCAGAGCUUCUGCAUCUCAUCAAAGGACUAUUUCCAGAAAAGGCAAAAACAGGUCAGACAACAUGGUUGGCUGAACAUAAGGCCAGAUACUCAAGGAGCAGUCAAUGAGUUACCCUCUUACACUGGGACACUGACAAUGGAAGGUGUCAGAAUUCUGGUGCUGGGAAGCCCCUGAGAAAAUUGGACUUUAAUUUCUCUAUUCCAAGAGAGAUGUACUUGACACUAGUACAGUGUUUACCAAACUGAGUUGAAUUUGGGUCCUGUCUGACCUCAUUGAUCUCAUGCAUACAGAGAUCUAGUCUACGCAGUAAAGAAUUUUGGGGAUCCUGGAAUCUCAGAACUGGAGAGAACCUUAAAAUUUAUUUUGCCUGAGACCUUCAUUCUACUGAUGAGUAAAACAAACCCAAGAGAAAUUGAGCCUUUGACAAAAUCAUCUAGCAUAUUGCCCAUGAAGAUCUCCUGAUUGCUAGGUUUUACAUUAAACCAUGCUUCAGCAGAUGAUGUUCAGGGCUUCUGCAAAUGACAUUUCUGGGUUUAUUGCCUUCAAUCUCAGGAAAUUUUUGUUCUGAAAUUCAUGUGGUGACCCAUGUUCACUUGCUUUUGUGUCUGCAUUGGAGACAAAUAGCACAAAGUGUCAAACUGUCCUUUAUAACCUUUUUCUUGCCUCCCUAGUGAAAGGACCAGUGGUUACCACUGACUUAUUACAAACUUGCCCCUUUUACAAGGAGUGCAUAGUAAAGCUUGGGGUGUUGCCCAUGGCAUUGAAAGUCAUUCCUGGUUGCCAUUGACAUCAUUCCAAGUCAUUUUCUAUCAUUCUGGUUUAGAUGUAUGGAUGCCUUUGCAGGUGAGAAUGUGUCUCUUGGAGAAUGAUGAGGAAAUGGUUCACCUUCCUUUCAUGCCCUUGGCCUGGUAGACCCGAGCUAAUUUGCAUGCCUGAUUUAGCUUUUACUGCCAUCUGCUGGAACCCCCUAAUAGGCACCUCCGACACACCUCUACCCUUGUUUAAAGUUGACCUUCAAUGAGUUGUUUUACCCCUCUUACCAGGAGGUCAGAAGUUCAGGAGAGAAGUGCUGUAUACAUCCAGUACAGCCUGGCAUCGUCACCAAGCUUCCACUUCCCCUCUAGUCCUCCAGGCCUCCUACUCUCAGGCACAUAUCUCAGUGUCUUUUAAAAAUGCUUCUUAUGUCUUAGACUCUUUCUGACUUGUGAGUUCACUUAGGAGAGGUGAUUUUUGUCCUUUGGGCUUUUGGUUUAGACACUGAUAUUGGAGCUCUUCCAAACAGGAUUAGCGUUUGUCACCCCAUGACCAAAGAAAAGACCAUUGGGAAGGGACACCAUGCUUACAGUGAAGAGUGUUGCCUUGUGAAUUUCCAUUGGUACUAUGGGAAGAAGGAAUUAGUUCUGAUGUGCAAAUAUAGGCAUAAUGGUGGCCAUAUUUUGCAGCUACUUUUUCUGACCAGAGCCAUAAUUUGGUAAGUUUAACUCUUAUGAUGGUUUUUGUAGAAAUGGGGAACAUAUAAAAUCAACUUUGAUUUUUAUUUUGGAUAAAUAAAGAAUGUUUAGGCCUUUUAAAUAAUAAAACAUCAGUUUAGACCUUUUAACCGUUCAAUUAAGAAUAUUUAAAAAAUAAAGAUAAAAGGAGGAAAAUGAAAACCAAAAUCUUCUCACCUUGAGAAAAUGAUAAUACUAUGCUCAUAAUUUUUAACUUAUAUGCACGUAUUUUAUAGAAUUAUAAAUACUAAUUUGUUCAUUUAUUACUGUGUCCUCAGCAUUUUCCUGUGUAAUCAUAUAUUCUUCAAAAAUACGAUAAUUAAUGGUGAUGUACAAUUCUAUUUUAAGGAAAUGUUUUAAUUAAUUACUAUUCUGUUACCUUCCAUUUAGGUUAUUUCUAAUUUUCACAAAUGCAUCUUAAGAACUUCAAAAGAACGCUUAAUUUGCUAAAUGACUAUUUAAGCAAAACGUGGGGAUUGUCAUUUUAACUUCUGACACAAUUCCAAUUUCAUGAGUCACUGAUAGAGACUGACAGUUUGACACAUAGGAUUAACAUGGGUGUCUGGGGUUGGUGAUGUAGUUCUAAUUCCAGCAAAUAACAGGCUGAAGAGAUGGCUUGAGUAGGCUUACAGUCUCCUUGAGUACUGGCUAACUUGUAUGUGGCACAGGCAAGGAAGCAGAUUGGGCUGCAGUUCUGUGUGCUUGAGUUCUUCCAACAAACCCAUGUGUAUGCACGCUCUUUCUGGACUUGAAAGACUAUGACCAUCUAAGUCUGUGAAUCUCACUGGGAUGCGUCAGGUCAGAUGACUUUGCCUCCUCGCUUACUCCCUUACCCACAGAGGACUUUCAGCUAUGUAUGGGGAUUUUUGGACGUCACAACUAGAGUGGAGGGUUGCCACUGGCAUCUAGUGGGUAGACACCAAGGAUGUUGCUGAACACCAUACAGCGUGUGGACAGCAGCCCCCACGACAAAGAAUAUCUGCCCCAAAUGUCAUAGAACCCGUUGACUCUUUUGUUGAAUGCAAAUGUUUCCAGGGAGUGCUUUCUCCAUUCCAGUCUAAAUCUUGGUUUUCUUUUCUUUACUUCAUUUCCUUUCUUACAGCAUCAGGAAAAUAUUGAUUGUUUUGUCAAUGCUAUAACAUCAUAUUAUAUAUCUGUCAUAACAUAAGUAGUUUGCAACUUUCAUAGGUUUAAUAUUCCUAAACACCAUGUAUUUUUGCAGUUUAUACUUUGACAUUCUUAAGUUGGCUUUUAGAUACUGCAUUUUGUUUAUGUCAGCUGAGGAGUGGAUGUUUCCAGUUGUAGCAGAGAGGUGCUAGUUCAUUUUCCGCACAUUGGCUGUCUUGGUGUAGAAGGGUGUUUUGGUGUAUUUCCUUUUUAUUUUACUAUAUUCUUCUGUUUUUCUCUGUAAUGUAAAUGGAAAAGAAAAGAAAGGAAAUGGUAGUACUAUAAGAGGCAUAGGUUUCAUGAACAUGAUUUAUAAAUACAAACAUUGCAACCAGAAUGAAAGUAGUUAGGCAUGUCAGAAAUAGCAAAUCUUUAACCCCGAUCAGAUGCUCAUCAGCUCUAGGCUGGUGGAAUAAACAAUCAAUUAUUAUUUUUUUAAAGAUUUCAUUUAUUUAUUCAUGAGAGACACAGAGUGAGAGAGGCAGAGACACAGGCAGAGAGAGAAGCAGCCUCCAUGCAGAGAGCCUGCCCAAUGUGGGACUUGAUCCCGGGACUCCAGGAUCAUGCCCUGAGCCGAAGGCAGACGCUCAACCAGUGAACCACUCCAGUGUCCCUACAAUCGAUGAUGAAAGAAAAUCAAUUUAAUGAACAUGUACAACAUAUUGCAAAUAUAUUGCCUAAGAUCAUGUCAUAAGGUUAAAGUUUAACAGUACUUUAUAAAUUCACCUCUGAAGAAUAGAAGCCGUCUUAUAUAUGUUGUUCACUUGCUCACUUUUGGCAUAUUGACCUUUGGUAUUCAUUUUCAGGACUGUGUUGUAUAUGUAAAUAGAGGCCAGUUUCCUGUGGAAAGUCUUUACCACCUUCCUUGGCUAAAGACCAUCUACAGUAUGUGAAGCCAGGAAGAAAGAUGAAGAAAUACAGUGUUUCUGCUUUGAUUCCCAAAGCUAAUUGCCUUUUUUUUUUUAAGAUGUCUGCCUGUAUUUCAAAUAUUAAUGCCCAUUAAAUGGAACUAUCUUCUGCAUCUUACCAGUGGAAAUGAAUUGCAUGUGGUUCAUUUCACAACACACUAAGUACUUCCAUCUUCCAACUAUUUGAAGUCUAGACAUUAUUCAAACAAAUGUUUAACCUUGAGAAUAAAAUUGCAAAGAGAUCCCAAAUGCAAGCUUGUAGCUUCCCUGCUGUGGGUACAAAUACACAUUUGAUUAUUUUUUUCCUCUAUUCCAUUUUUCCCACUUUUCAUGUGUUUUUCCCCCCCAGAAUUAAAAAAAAAUAGUAUUUUUUUAAAGAGCUUCAUUAAAGAGUUGUCUUAAAUCCUUUUGGGAAUAAGGGUGAGAGUGGGGUGGGGAAAGGAGAGGGUGGGCUGUUGACUCUUGUAGUGAAGGCUGUGGAUUGUGGAAUCAGAUCAAACUGAGUAUUCAUUUGGAUUCUACAAUUUACCAGCAGUCUUUGUGGCCUAGGGCAGAUCAUUUAAUUUCUUUGUGCAUUAAUUUUCUCAAUUGAAACAUGGAAAUAGUGGUAGGUCGUAAGUUAUAGGGUCGUUAGAUGGAUCAAUGAGACAGUUCACUGGAUGUGCUUGCAUGCCGUCUGGCUUAAUAAAUGGGCACUGUCAUGAUUAUUAUCCUUCCCCAUCCACCUCCCUUCCUCCCCAGGUGAACUGGUUCUGAGUUGCAGACUUUCUGCUGUGAGGACAUGCAUUACUUUGCUUUUGUAGGUGAGAAAAUGAGCCUGUAUGGGUGCUUGCUGACUUCUCACAGAUCCCUGGACCUAUUCUACCCACUUUGCCAAGAAAGUUCAUACAGGCAUUCAAAAUAACCUCUCAGUAUCUAAACAUUGUCACUAUUGGCCCUGCCCAGGAAAAAUAGUGACAGAUAUCCAAAGGGGUGAUCAGCUUUUCUGUCAUUUGUUCCAUCUUUACAGGAAUUGUGGAAAUUGCCUCCCAUCACUGCUUCUGUCUCAUCACAAUAUCCAUCAAUGGGUGAUUUGUGGUGGUUUUGAUGGUAACAGAUUUCACCAAGUAUACAGUUUACUUUUUCGAGAUUACGACACUAGUAAAUUAGUCAUAAGGAUUGUAGAAGGGGCUCUUUGCCCCUUGUAAAAAGAGCUCUUUGCUAUCCUUACUGCUUUUUGUUCUUCCUUGGGAAACAAAACAGCUUGCCUCCUUGACCUCCCAAGCUCUCAGCCAUGACUUUGUAGGGUGAGGGUCAUGAGCUGCUCACGGAGACCUGCUGUACAGGGAUGUUGAAAAUGGGUGUUUGCUAGGUCUUCUCUAUGUGUUUCUUCCUCAGAUGUUGUUAGUUUGAAUGGAAUGGUAGAGAUAAUUCUAAAAUACUGGACUAUUCAAUUAAAAAGCCAGGCAGAGGGACGCCUGGAUGGGUCAGUGGUUGAGCGUCUGCUCAGGGCGUGAUCCCAGGGUCCUGGGAUCGAGUUCUGCAUUGGGCUCCCCGCAGGGAGCCUGCUUUUCCAACUCUGCCUGUGUCUCUGCCUCUCUCUGUCUCUCAUGAAUAAAUAAGUAAAAUCUUAAAAAAAAAAAAAAAA